AGUGAACGCUGGCGGUAGGCCUAACACAUGCAAGUCGAACGGCAGCACAGUAAGAGCUUGCUCUUACGGGUGGCGAGUGGCGGACGGGUGAGGAAUACAUCGGAAUCUACUUUUUCGUGGGGGAUAACGUAGGGAAACUUACGCUAAUACCGCAUACGACCUACGGGUGAAAGCAGGGGAUCUUCGGACCUUGCGCGAUUGAAUGAGCCGAUGUCGGAUUAGCUAGUUGGCGGGGUAAAGGCCCACCAAGGCGACGAUCCGUAGCUGGUCUGAGAGGAUGAUCAGCCAGACUGGAACUGAGACACGGUCCAGACUCCUACGGGAGGCAGCAGUGGGGAAUAUUGGACAAUGGGGGCAAGCCUGAUCCAGCAAUACCGCGUGGGUGAAGAAGGCCUUCGGGUUGUAAAGCCCUUUUGUUGGGAAAGAAAAGCAGCAGGUUAAUACCCCGCUGUUCUGACGGUACCCAAAGAAUAAGCACCGGCUAACUUCGUG
rnacentral:rRNA from 1 species